rnacentral:rRNA from 1 species
GCUUAUGAGUAGAAUUGAUUCUCCGUGUGCGCUAUGUGCGGAUAGCUUGCUAUGCGUGUGUGGCUGCGUGUGGAUUGAGUCGAGACGUAACUUAUUGCCGUUCGGGACGUUGACGAAAUGGAGCGAUUUGACCCGUCUUGAAACACGGACCAAGGAGUCUAACAUGUGUGCAAGUGUUAGGGUGUGGAAACCCCAGCGCGUAAUGAAAGUAAAGGAUAGCGUAAGUUAUCUGAGGUAGGAAAUGCUGCGGGUUCGUCCUGCGGCGUGGCACUAUCGACCGAUCAUGAACCCUUGUGGUGAAAGAUUUGAGUUUGAGCACAUAUGUUGGUACCCGAAAGAUGGUGAACUAUGCCUGAGUAGGGUGAAGCCAGGGGAAACUCUGGUGGAAGCUCGUAGCGAUUCUGACGUGCAAAUCGAUCGUCAAACUUGGGUAUAGGGGCGAAAGACUAAUCGAACCAUCUAGUAGCUGGUUCCCUCCGAAAUUUCCCUCAGGAUAGCAGCAACUUAUUUACGAUAGUUUUAUGAGGUAAAGCGAAUGAUUAGAGGAUUCGGGGAAGAAACUUUCUCGACCUAUUCUCAAACUUUAAAUCUGUAAGACCUGCAGGUUUCUUAAUU